ACUCCUACGGGAGGCAGCAGUGGGGAAUGAUUUGCACAAUGGGCGCAAGCCUGAUGCAGCCAUGCCGCGUGUGUGAAGAAGGCCUUCGGGUUGUAAAUGCAACUUUCAGUCGUGAGGAAGGUAGUGUAGUUAAUAGCUGCAUUAUUUGACGUUAGCGACAGAAGAAGCACCGGCUAACUCCGUGCCAGCAGCCGCGGUAAUACGGAGGGUGCGAGCGUUAAUCGGAAUUACUGGGCGUAAAGCGCAUGCAGGUGGUUUUGUUGAAGUCAAGAUGUGAAAGCCCGGGGC
rnacentral:rRNA from 1 species